GAGAAAGUAUUGCAUGAUGAAAUUGACAUUGCAUAAAAUAUAGAAAUCAACGACAACGGAAGCCCGCAAUGAACGGUGUUUUAUCUUUUGCUGACGACAACUUCCAAAUCUACUUAGGACCAGGAUUUUUUAAGGGAACAAGAAAUCUUCAUAGGGAUACAUAGAUUGAACAUUUUCUAAAUGGAUCCACAGAACUCUGUGUCUCACCUGCAGUUGCUGCUGUUAGUGUAAAAGUGUGAUGUUGACUAUAAAACAACAGAAUGAAGAAUUCCAAGAGUCUAAUACGGUUUAUUUAACAGGAUUUUAUCAUUGAAUCAACAUCCUACAAGAAUAUAACAUACAAAUAAGUAAUUAUGUGCAGGGAAGAACAUUUAAACAAAACUGUAAGAGACAUACAGUGGUGUAUUUUUAAAGAGAUCGAAAGAACCUGUAAUAACUUGCCAUGAGUGUAUAUUUUCCAAACCAGAAGCUCGUUCAUAAUAAUAUACAAUUUAAAUUAAAAUUAUUGUAUGAACAUUACAGAUAAAGUCUCAAAAUAGAAAAUUUAGUUUCAAAUGAAACAUUUAAGUACAAAACAUUGAAAUAGUCCUUUCCAUGUUGUGGGACAUGUAGAAAGUUUAUGCUUUCACCAUUCAUGUAUACGUAGCUCCAUAUAGAGGAAUACCAUACCAAAAAAAAAACGCAUUCGUAUCCGACAGCAAUCAAUCGAUAAAAAAAAACACCAAUUAACAUGACAUGAGACAAGCAAUGAGAAGGUUCCUACCUUGGUACAGGCGUUUGAAAACUACUGAAGAGCUGUCUAAAAAAGGCAUUAAAGUUUUAUUUUUAUUGAGAAAAUAUAUGUCAAAUUUUAAUUUUGUUCCCACUAAUUUGUCAUGUAAAUUAUUUGAUACUCUUAUAAGACCUAUUUUGACAUACAACUCUGAGAUUUGAUUUAUGGAUAAUUUUCAGUCAGCUUAUAGAGCAUCUAAUAGAGCUGCAGUAAAUAAUACAUUUUGUGAUACUCUUGCAUUAACAGAAAAACAUCCCUUUGAGAAGGUUCAUUCUAAAUUUUGUAAAGCAGUAUUAGGACUGAAAAAGACAGCCACUAACAUAGGUGCUAGAUCAGAAUUAGGUAGAUUUACUUUGGACUCCUAUAUAAAAACUCAAACACUCAUGUUUUUUUAUAGAAUAAAUUGUAAUGAUAUUAAUCCCCUGGUUAAAGAAUCUCUACAAACAAACAUAAAUUUACAUUCAGAAGGAAUUUAUUCUUGGUACUCAUUUGCAGAUAAAAAUUUUAAAGAAAUGAAAAUAAAUCCAGAAAAUUA